rnacentral:scRNA from 1 species
GGGGUUGGGGAUUUAGCUCAGUGGUAGAGCGCUUGCCUAGCAAGCGCAAGGCCCUGGGUUCGGUCCCCAGCUCCGAAAAAAAAAGAAAAAAAAAUUACAUUU